AAAAAAAAAAAAAAAGAGAGUGGCCACUUGCAACCCAUCUGCAAAAAUGAACGUUGCUUUGUUCUUGUGCUCGCAGCUCUUCUUUUAUGUCAGAUACACAAAAGGCGAGUAAAUAACGAAAGCAACAUGUUCAUGUUCUUACAAUUAAAACGAAGCUCAACAACCAACAUGGGAACUUGGUUUGACCCUUCUAAAUGGCAUCACAUUCCAUUCGUAGUGGCCAAAUGGAACAGUGAAGCUCUUCUUUUAUGUCAGAUACACAAAAGGCGAAUAAAUAAAGAAAGCAACAUGUUCAUGUUCUUACGGUAAGCAAGCUUUCACUCUGUUCUUCUCCUUUUGUUUUCUUUUUUAAUAACAAUUCAGUCGAUUCGAUGCAAACAUUAAUAGAAUCCCCAUGGAUCUGACAGAUGCUUCUUUAUAUAAUAAUAUAGAAUCUUGAUUGUGGAUGGCGACCUGAUUAUUUUUUUUCUUGUUCUCGAUGCUGAUACGAUCUGAUGUAGCUUAAUAAAUUCUUAAUUAAACUAAUUGAACAGUGUUAGUGUAUGUUUAGAUUAAAACGAAGCUCAACAACCAGCAUGGGAACUUGGUUUGACCCUUCUAAUUUUGUUUCUGCUAUUUUUUUUUUUUUAUUCCAGAGUGAAUUAUGUUUAUCUAGGAUGAAGCAGAUCGAUUUUUUCUUUUGACACAGCAAUUUUUGUAUACAAAAUUUGCAAUUUUUGCAUACAAUUUGACAUAGCCAUCACCAAAUAUGAAGAGUAGAUUGUAAUUUCUUUGAA